rnacentral:lncRNA from 1 species
GAGAAUGAGAAUAGAAGAUUAGUGUGUGAGAUAAUGUAAGCAUAGUAGGAAGGUAGGCAGUAGGUAGCUAGCAUGUUGAGAUUUUGUUAUCAAAGCACACACGUGUGGGGUGCAUAAUGUGGAUGGUGAUAUAUUGUGGAGUUAGAGGCACACGUGGAAGAUAGAAUGAGAAAUGAAUUAUAUAGGUUAAAAGAAAUAGUCCCUACUCCACGCCCUAAUUGCUUCCUUGUUUGCCUUUAUGCUUUAGGAUUCCAUGUGAGUCAUUGUUUUGGCCAUGCAUGCAUUCG